CCUACGGGAGGCAGCAGUGGGGGAUAUUGCACAAUGGGGGAAACCCUGAUGCAGCGACGCCGCGUGUGGGAAGACGGUCCUCUGGAUUGUAAACCACUGUCCCCAGGGACGAAAAUGACGGUACCUGGGGAGGAAGCCCCGCGUAACCACGUGCCAGCAGCCGCGGUAAUAGGUAGGGAGCGAGCGUUGUCGGGAAUUACUGGGUGAAAAGGGAGCGUAGGCGGGGAUGCAAGUUGAUGGGAAAAACUACCGGCUAAACUGGUAGUCGCACUCAAAACUGGAGCUCUUGAGUGAAGUAGAGGCAGGCGGAAUUCCUAGUGUAGCGGUGAAAUGCGUAGAUAUUAGGAGGAACACCAGUGGCGAAGGCGGCCUGCUGGGCUUUUACUGACGCUGAGGCUCGAAAGUGUGGGGAGCAAACAGGAUUAGAUACCCGGGUAGUC
rnacentral:rRNA from 1 species